ACAAAUAACAGCAUACAGGUUCCCCCCCCCCCACCCCAUCAUGUACAGCUGAAUCACGUAGAAUUUGAAGAUCAAGAUGAUGAAGCCAGAGUUCAGUAUGAGGGUUUUCGACCUGGGAUAUGCGUCUGAAGAAACAUCUCUGGUAUAAGAAAAUCCUCAAGUCCCAAGAUCCAAUCAUAUUUUCUGUAGGGUGGAGGAGGUUUCAGACCAUCCUGCUCUAUUAUAUCGAAGACCACAAUGGAAGACAAAGGCUUCUAAACCUGAUUUUCAGAUAGCUGCCACAGGAGUUGUCCUUGAUCUGGAUAAAUCCAUAAAAAUUGUGAAGAAAUUAAAGCUAACUGGUUUUCCAUAUAAAAUUUUCAAGAACACUUCAUUUAUUAAGGGAAUGUUUAAUUCUGCCUUGGAAGUGGCCAAAUUUGAAGAUGCUGUGAUUCGAACUGUCAGUGGGAUAAGGGGGCAGAUCAAGAGAGCACUCUGAGCUCCAGAAGGAGCUUUCCAGGAUAGCUUUGAGGAUAAGCUGCGGAUGAGCGAUAUUGUCUUCAUGCGAACUUGGUAUCCUGUUUCCAUCCCAGCCUUCUAUAACCCAGUAACAUCUUUGUUGAAACCAGUGGGUGAGAAAGACACCUGGUCAGGAAUGUGGACCACGGGCCAACUCAGGCUCGCCCAUGGUGUCAGACUAAAGACAAACAAGGACUCUCUGUAUAAG
rnacentral:lncRNA from 1 species